UGCAGUCGAGCGGGGGAAGGUAGCUUGCUACUGGACCUAGCGGCGGACGGGUGAGUAAUGCUUAGGAAUCUGCCUAUUAGUGGGGGACAACAUUCCGAAAGGAAUGCUAAUACCGCAUACGUCCUACGGGAGAAAGCAGGGGACCUUCGGGCCUUGCGCUAAUAGAUGAGCCUAAGUCGGAUUAGCUAGUUGGUGGGGUAAAGGCCUACCAAGGCGACGAUCUGUAGCGGGUCUGAGAGGAUGAUCCGCCACACUGGGACUGAGACACGGCCCAGACUCCUACGGGAGGCAGCAGUGGGGAAUAUUGGACAAUGGGGGGAACCCUGAUCCAGCCAUGCCGCGUGUGUGAAGAAGGCCUUAUGGUUGUAAAGCACUUUAAGCGAGGAGGAGGCUACUAGUAUUAAUACUACUGGAUAGUGGACGUUACUCGCAGAAUAAGCACCGGCUAACUCUGUGCCAGCAGCCGCGGUAAUACAGAGGGUGCGAGCGUUAAUCGGAUUUACUGGGCGUAAAGCGUGCGUAGGCGGCCAUUUAAGUCAAAUGUGAAAUCCCCGAGCUUAACUUGGGAAUUGCAUUCGAUACUGGAUGGCUAGAGUAUGGGAGAGGAUGGUAGAAUUCCAGGUGUAGCGGUGAAAUGCGUAGAGAUCUGGAGGAAUACCGAUGGCGAA
rnacentral:rRNA from 1 species